rnacentral:piRNA from 1 species
UUAGCCCGGUUUUCUACUUCG